UAAAUCUCCAUGCGACAAUAUAGCUAAUGCAUUUUCAUUACUUAUGACAUUAUUUCUUGUUUACGAUUUCGUGCAGUGGUUACAUGUCGCCAGAAUAUGUAGCGGAAGGUAUAUACUCCUUAAAAUCAGAUGUAUUUAGUUUUGGUGUUUUAGUGCUAGAAAUUGUGAGUGGAAAGAAAAAUUGAGGAUUUUCUCAUAGUGAUCACCAUCUCAACCUUCUUGGACAUGCAUGGAUACUUUACAAAGAAGGAAGGUCAAAGGAACUGGUCGACACUUGUCCAAUUGAUUCAGAAUACUUGAACGAAGUGCUGAGAUCAAUUCAUGUGGGUUUGCUAUGCGUGCAAAAAUGUCAAGGAGCUAGGCCAAGCAUGUCUACAAUUGUUUUUAUGUUGGGGAAUGAAGGUGUGUUACCUGAAGCUAAACAACCUGGUUUUUUCACUGAAAGAGAUGUAUUCCCUGCUGAAAGUUCAACUAGAACAAAUGUAGACAAAUCAUCAUGCGAAAUGACCAUUACUCUUCUAGAAGGUAGAUAAGAAUAGUGUUGCACACUUAUAUUACAUUAUUUUCGAAACCUCAUUUUUGGUUAAUGUCCUAUAUAUGCAAGGCCAUGAUGGCGCUAAAUGAGAUUGUGUAAAACUUGGAACACUUGAUACUUAUGUGUAUGAUUUCACUGGUGUCAUCGUAAGGAAUAAUAUAUGUUCAAAACUUUCAUGCUA